UUUAAAAAAAAUCAAAAAAGUAAAAAAAAAUCAAAAAAUUCAAAAAAAAAUAUGUAUCCUGUGUAACCACUGUGAAAAGUUGUUAUACGACAUGCAUAAAUUGUCUAAUGGAACUUACACUUGGAGAACCUGCAGCAUUGUAAUGUUGUUACUAGAAGUGAUACUGUUUUCUUAAAAGAACCUUAGAUACUAAUUAUAUGUUCAAAUCUUAAAUAUAGUAAUAUACUGUAACCACUUUGUGCAUAAACAGACAACAGUACAAUUUGGAGAUGAAAUGGUAAUAGAAUACUAAAUAUUGUCAAUGAAAUUUGUGUUAGAAAUAUGACCAUUGGUUAACACUGUACAGAUUAUUUAUUCCAAUCAUGGUGUCAUUCUGUUGUUACAAGACAACAGUACAUGUUGUUACUAGAAGUUCAUAUUCCCUCUUUCAAGACAAGUAAUGACAGACCCCGUAACCAUUGAAAACGGGCAAACAUUCGAACGUGCAGCCAUUCAAAACUGGUUCAACGAGUGUAAAGAAAGCAACAGGAAACUGGUUUGCCCUGUGACAUUAAAAGAACUAAAAACAACUAAUAUGAAGACCAAAUAAACAGUCAACUGCAAGUACCCAAAUAAACAGUCAAAUAAACAAGCUGCAAGUAGCCAAAUAAACAGUCAACUAGACAUCAACUUUACCCAAAAAAAAAAAAAAAAAACUAGAGACAAAACCUAAAUUGAUCAUCAAAAACCCAAAAAAGCAGCAAAAAUUUCUAAAUUUGACUCGCCCCCUUCAAGAUUUGAAUACUAAAACCCUAAAUUCUUAAUCAAAACAUUGAAUUUCAUCAAACCCAUAAAACAAUUUCAACAACUUACUCAAAGCAAUAUAGUAAAGCAACAAGAUACCAUGAUCAGUAAAGAUUUUGUGAAGCAAGAAGCUAACUGAGAAUAAAUCAAUAAAACUGCAAUAAAAAAGGUCAAACCUUUGAAAAGUGAUUGGAUGAUCACAACAGUGAGUGGAAGCAGCUACGAAGGUAGACAGAAAAGAAAAAGGAGGGGUGCGAGCUACGAAGGUAGACGAAGAUUUGAUUAGUGGUGAAAACAGGAUCUGAUGAUGAGGUUUAACACCGUUCCCAUUGAAGUCUGAUGCGUGUUUUAGGUGCAGAGAGUAAAAACCCAUCUUGACCCAUGUUAAAAGUUAAAUGGGUAUUUUAAAACCCAUUCUAACCCAUCUUGACUAAAUUCUCAGCCCAUUCUAACUUAUUUUCUUUUUUAAAAAGGCCCAAAAUAACCCAAAAUAUCAUGGUUGGGUUUUUGUUGCCACCUCUAGUUUCGAUGUUGGGUGGCUUUUGGGUCACGAGUUAGGCUGGUCAACCGUACAGAUCUGGUCAAACUUCGGGUCAGGUCGACUCUCGGUCAACAAAAGUCAACGAUGGUCAAAGUCUUAGUCAGGUGGUCGUAUUUGAGUGGCACGUUUAUCGAGGAAACCUUUUUCGUGUCGGUCUUGAGCGGUUAAUUCGAGUAGGGAUGUCUUGGUGAUUAUUUGCAUGUUAUGCCGGUUCGUAUCGUUGACACAAUACUUUUGGAUAUAACACGCACCCUAGGUCGAUAGGUACUUUGUUGGGAACUUGUUGUCUGGAGUAGCUGGAGUGGUCACGGGUCGACUUGAGGGAUUUAUGUGUUCAAACUAUUGAUACUAUACAUUAGUUUUGAAACAGUUUAACUCGGGUUUACUAUUUGCUUCCGCUGAACAUGUUGGUUUUCAUUUAAACUUGUG